rnacentral:misc_RNA from 1 species
GCGAUUUAUAUAAUUAAAUAGUUGGAUAAGCUAACACUCAGAGCAAGGCGGCAUUUAUUUUAUCUGCAUCUGCAACGAAAACCCACGAGUCUUCCGAGAGUGUUUGAUCUGAAAGUUAUCUUCUUUUCUCUUUCUGCUGUAUCCUAAGGCGGAAUGUCAAAGAGUUACUUCAAGCAAGAGCAUGAUCUCGACAAGAGACGGGCAGAGGCAGCUAGGAUCAGGGAAAAAUACCCAGAUAGGAUUCCAGUGAUUGUGGAGAAGGCAGAAAGAAGUGAUAUACCAAACAUAGAUAAGAAAAAGUAUCUUGUCCCAGCUGACUUGACUGUGGGACAGUUUGUAUAUGUUAUCCGUAAGAGGAUUAAAUUAAGUGCAGAAAAGGCAAUUUU